rnacentral:lncRNA from 1 species
GGGACCCUCUCGUCGCAGCUUGGCCGGGCUGAGCCAGUGUCACCUGGGGCUGCCCUUGCAUGCACAGGAUUUUGUAAGAUUCUCCAGCUGGUAGCGGGCAGAGCCAGCCGAGAGAGAACAACUUUGCUUUCUGGCAGGUUGUCGGCUCUCAGCGAGGGGGAGUGUCCCUUGGCUCGGCGUCCAGGGCCACGGGCGCGGACUCAACAAAAUGAAACCAGGACACUUAUGGCUGCGUCUUGCACUGCUUGGGGCCUCCCUGCCAGCUGCGCUGGGAUGGAUGGACCCAGGACCCAGCAGAGGCCUGAACGUGGGUGUGAGUGAUGCACAAGCAGAGGUAUUGUCACAUAACACCUGAUAUGACCCUUAAAACGUGCUGCUUUUCAGUGUCAACAUAUCUGAUUUCUUCUCUACCUUUAUAUCAGUAAGAUUGCAGUGUGAAUUAAAAAUGUGCCCCCUUUUUGGUAAGAGGCAGAAGGAAACAACAUGUG